rnacentral:misc_RNA from 1 species
AACGCACGAGACCUGCGGACCUGCGGAGGGAUCAUUAGUGAACGCCCUCACGGGCUUAUAACUAUUCCAAACCUCUGUGAGCCGUGCCCUUCGGGGCUAUUUUACAAACAUGGUGUAAUGAACGUCAUAUAUCAUAACAAAACAAAACUUUCAACAACGGAUCUCU